ACAGCAGUCGCCGCGGUAAUACGGAGGAUCCAAGCGUUAUCCGGAAUCAUUGGGUUUAAAGGGUCCGUAGGCGGUCUUGUAAGUCAGUGGUGAAAGCCCAUCGCUCAACGGUGGAACGGCCAUUGAUACUGCAGGACUUGAAUUAUUGGGAAGUAACUAGAAUAUGUAGUGUAGCGGUGAAAUGCUUAGAGAUUACAUGGAAUACCAAUUGCGAAGGCAGGUUACUACCAAUUGAUUGACGCUGAUGGACGAAAGCGUGGGUAGCGAACAGGAUUAGAUACCCGUGUAGUCCCUGUCUCUUAUAC
rnacentral:rRNA from 1 species